UCACUUUAGCCGAGACAGGCCCUGGGUCCUUGUCAAGGGAUGUUUGAAUUUAAGGCCUCUGGACUGUAAUUUCAGAGAAAUGGGAUAGAUCGUGAUUUCUUUCUUAGAAGCCUGGGGCUGGAGAGCUGCCAUGGUUGUGCUGCUUCCCACCUCCACCUACAGACUUUGGUUUAGGAGUACCUGCCCUGCCACAGGGCUCCAGGCUUAGCCAGCUACAUUGCUCCUGAGAUCUCAGAAAAAGAACGUGUAGGUGAGCCUUCCAGGGUCUGCUCCAGGGUGGAUAGGCAACCACCUAGCAACACUGUGGCCUUUCCCUCAGUGGCCCUGGCCAUCUCAGAGACUACUUUGCCUUUGGCCCCACCCUUCAUGAGGUCACAAUCGGAAGGCUGUGAAAACACAGCCACUGCUUCCACCAGGAUGUGGUUUCAAGAAGGGCUUCCACCUCUGGCCUCAGCCUCCUGAGUGCUGAGAUGAUAGGGUACGUGUGUCCAGAAGCAGGGGCCUCACGUGUAUUGUUUACUGCUUUCUGUGCCCAGAAUAGUGCUUGGCAUGCACUAGGUGAUGGAGGUAAGAAGUUGAUAUCCGGGCUGGAGAGAUAGCUCAUCGGUUAAGAGCACUGACUGCUCUUCCAGAGGUCCUGAGUUCAAAUCCCGGC